AACCAUUCUCACCUGCGGCUAGACCUGCGGAAGGAUCAUUAACAUUUUUGGAGGUAGGCUGUAUAAGUCUGGUUGGUAACAACUAGCAUGGCCCCUCUGAUUUGUACCCUUGUCUAUUUGCGCACUUAUGUUUCCUCGGUGGGCUUGCCUGCCGAUUGGACAAACUUAUAACCUUUUUAAUUGUUAAAUCAGCGUCUGAAACAAACAUAAUAAUUACAACUUUCAACAAUGGAUCUCAGA
rnacentral:misc_RNA from 1 species